AGCUAUAAUAUCUAAAACAACCCUUGAUGAUAAUGCUGCGUAUAUUGCUGAUUUUACUGAAGCAGGAAUGAUAUCUGAAACAACCCCUGCUAAUAAUGCUGCACAUACUGAUGUUACUGAAACAAUUGAGAAGCCUGAUGAUACUGGUGAUCACAGUGCUGAUG